AAAGACUUGACGGUACUUCACAACACCCUAGAGGAGCCUGUCUAAUAACCGAUAUUCCACGAUUAACCCCACCUGUCCCUAGCCUUACAGUCUAUAUACCGCCGUCGCCAGCUUACCUUGUGAAAGAAAUAAAGUAAGCAAAAUAAACCACCUUUAACACGACAGGUCAAGGUGUAACUAAUGAGCAGGCAAAAGAUGGGCUACAUUUUCUAACGCAGAAAACACGAAUCAAACCAUGAAACCACAACUGAAGGCGGAUUUAAUAGUAAGAUAAAAAUAGAAUGUUUAGCUGAAA
rnacentral:rRNA from 1 species